rnacentral:rRNA from 1 species
AUUGAACGCUGGCGGCAGGCUUAACACAUGCAAGUCGAACGAGUGGCGGACGGGUUAGUAAUACUUAGGAAUCUGGCUUAUGGAGGGGGAUAACGACGGGCAACGGUAGCUAAUACCGCAUACAAUCGGAUGGGCCCAAACGGGAUUGGCUUGUUGGUGGGGUAACGGCUCACCAGGGCGACGUUCCCUAGCUGGUCUGAGAGGAGGACCAGACACAUUGGAACUGAGAGACGGUCCAGACUCCUACGGGAGGCAGCAGUGGGGAAUAUUGCACAAUGGGGGAAAUCCCGAUCCAGCCAUGCCGCGUGUAUGACGAAGGCCUGCGUGUUGUAAAGUACUUUCAGCGGGGAGGCGUUACCCGCAGAAGAAGCACCGGCUAACUCCGUGCCAGCAGCCGCGGUAAUUC